rnacentral:rRNA from 1 species
ACGCUCGACACCUACGGGGGCAGCAGUAGGGAAUCUUCCACAAUGGACGCAAGUCUGAUGGAGCAACGCCGCGUGAGUGAAGAAGGUUUUCGGAUCGUAAAGCUCUGUUGUUGGUGAAGAAGGAUAGAGGUAGUAACUGGCCUUUAUUUGACGGUAAUCAACCAGAAAGUCACGGCUAACUACGUGCCAACAGCCGCGGUAAUCUGAGCGGGCUGGCAAGGC